rnacentral:rRNA from 1 species
CAGCCGCCGCGGUAAAACGGAGGGUGCAAGCGUUAAUCGGAAUUACUGGGCGUAAAGCGCACGCAGGCGGUCUGUCAAGUCGGAUGUGAAAUCCCCGGGCUCAACCUGGGAACUGCAUUCGAAACUGGCAGGCUAGAGUCUUGUAGAGGGGGGUAGAAUUCCAGGUGUAGCGGUGAAAUGCGUAGAGAUCUGGAGGAAUACCGGUGGCGAAGGCGGCCCCCUGGACAAAGACUGACGCUCAGGUGCGAAAGCGUGGGGAGCAAACAGGAUUAGAUACCCCAGUAGUCCCUGUCUCUUAUAA